UAAUUAGUUAUUUGAAAGUUAAUUAAUUUUAUUUUUUUUGUGAAAAGUUGCAAAAAAAUAUAUCAAAAUUGAGAGUCCGGCUACUGUACUCUUAUGCGUACGAUCGCCCUCGUACUCAUAAGUCGUUUUCGAUGAUAGAGCUUCCGAAUCGACGAGCCAUACCGUUAAACAUUAUCUAAAGCAUUUAAAACUUCUAGAAAAUAAAUUUCAUAAUUUUUCGACAUUAUUUAUCUUAUGAUCAAAAGCUUACAAAAUUGAUAAUUUUUAACAACCGGUAUGGGAUACUUGCUAGUUUAACGGUGUAAAAAAAUUGGAUUAGGUAGAAUUUUUGAUAGAAAGUUCUAUUCACUACCUAGAUAAAUAUCAAUAAUUCCGAUCUUAAAUUGAAGGAUCCGAUCAUCCAUUUUUAGGACGUCGUUCGAUUUCGACUGUUCAUUUUAUGCCCGUUUGAUGGACUUUAUUAUGAUUUCGAAAAAUUACAAAAUUUAUUUUUUAGAAGUUUUAAAUACUCUAGAUCAUAUUUAACGGAAUGGAUCGUCGAAUCGGAAGUCCCAUAAUCGAAAAUAACUUAUAAGUACGAAGAGCUCUAUAGUAGCCCUACUCCGAAAUUGCCAGAAUUAUCCAAUUAAUUUAAUAAUAAAUUUAAUUUAUUUGACUAAAUUUUUUUUAAUUUUGAAAAUAUUG
rnacentral:lncRNA from 1 species